rnacentral:misc_RNA from 1 species
GAUGAAGAACGUAGCGAAAUGCGAUAAGUAAUGCGAAUUGCAGAAUCCGUGAGUCAUCGAAUCUUUGAACGCACAUUGCGCCCUUUGGUAUUCCGAAGGGCAUGCCUGUUCGAGCGUCAUUAUCACCACUCAAGCCCGGCUUGCUGUUGGUGGCAGCGCAGCCGGUCAACCGGCUACGCUCCACCCAAAGAUAAUGACGGCGUCUGCGAGGACUCCUGUACAUUGAGCUUUCGGGCACGUACAUGGCUAGAAGUCCAGGCGCCGGUCGACGUCCUCCGGGACACUUUUUACCAAGGUUGACCCCGGAUCAGGUAGGGAUACCCGCUGAACUUAAGCAUAUCAAUAAGCGGAGGA